AUUAAACGCUGGCGGCAUGCCUUACACAUGCAAGUCGAACGGCAGCACGGGGGCAACCCUGGUGGCGAGUGGCGAACGGGUGAGUAAAGCAUCGGAACGUGCCCUGGAGUGGGGGAUAACGUAGCGAAAGUUACGCUAAUACCGCAUAUUCUGUGAGCAGGAAAGCAGGGGAUCGCAAGACCUUGCGCUCUGGGAGCGGCCGAUGUCGGAUUAGCUAGUUGGUGGGGUAAAGGCCUACCAAGGCGACGAUCCGUAGCGGGUCUGAGAGGAUGAUCCGCCACACUGGGACUGAGACACGGCCCAGACUCCUACGGGGGUCAGCAGUAGGGAAUUUUGGACAAUGGGCGCAAGCCUGAUCCAGCCAUGCCGCGUGAGUGAAGAAGGCC
rnacentral:rRNA from 1 species